UGAUUUUGAAGUUUAUGAAUGUU
rnacentral:miRNA from 1 species